rnacentral:rRNA from 1 species
UUGACAAAUUUGACCUCAAAUCAGGUAGGACUACCCGCUGAACUUAAGCAUAUCAAUAAGCGG